rnacentral:rRNA from 1 species
UACGAAGGGGGCUAGCGUUGUUCGGAAUUACUGGGCGUAAAGCGCACGUAGGCGGACAUUUAAGUCAGGGGUGAAAUCCCAGAGCUCAACUCUGGAACUGCCUUUGAUACUGGGUGUCUUGAGUAUGGAAGAGGUGAGUGGAAUUCCGAGUGUAGAGGUGAAAUUCGUAGAUAUUCGGAGGAGCACCAGUGGCGAAGGCGGCUCACUGGUCCAUUACUGACGCUGAGGUGCGAAAGCGUGGGGAGCAAACAGG